rnacentral:SRP_RNA from 1 species
GCCGGGUGUGGUGGUGGGCGCCUGUAAUCCCAGCUACUCAGGAGGCUGAGGCAGGAGAAUCGCUUGAACCCAGGAGAGAAGGUUGCAGUGAGCCAAGAUCGUGCCAUUGCACUCCAGCCUGGGUGACAGAGCGAGACUCUGUCUCAA